rnacentral:rRNA from 1 species
UACGGAGGGUGCGAGCGUUGUCCGGAAUUCAUUGGGCGUAAAGGGCGCGUAGGUGGCCGUGGUCAGCGUGCGGUGAAAGCUCGGGGCUCAACCCCGAGUCGGCCGUGCGAACUGCUGGGCUGGAGCACUGUAGAGGCAGGCGGAAUUCCGGGUGUAGCGGUGGAAUGCGUAGAGAUCCGGAAGAACACCAACGGCGAAAGCACUCAUGCUGGGCCGACACUGACACU